UUGUCAUAUGCUUGUCUUAAAGACUAAGCCAUGCAGGUGUUAGUUCAGCAACAAAAUGCGAAACCGCGAUCGGCUCAUUAAAUCAGUUAUAGUUUAUCUGGAUGUUUUUAUAUGGAUAACUGCAGUAACUCUGUAGCCAAUACAUGAGUACACGUCUGAAACCUUUGGCGGUAAGACUACUUUUCUGCUUUUGACACAACGCUUUCGGGCGACUUGAUUUGAAUGUGCGUAAUUGAUUUACCAACUAGCCGUUGUGCUAUUGGAGCUAAUAAAAAGUUUCUGCCCCAUCAACUUUCGACGGUAGUGUAUUUGACUACGGUGGUUGUAACGGGUAACGGGGAAUCUGGGUUUGAUUCCGGAGAGGGAGCUUAACAGUUGGCUACCACAUCUAAGGAAGGCAGCAGGCGCGCAAAUUACCCAAUUUUGGAUCAAAGAGGUAGUGACAAAAAAUAACGAUACGGUACGAUAUGUGUUGUGAUUGGAAUGGAAUGAUCAUAAAGUAUUUUUUGAGGAGCAAGU
rnacentral:rRNA from 1 species